UACGUAGGGUGCGAGCGUUAAUCGGAAUUACUGGGCGUAAAGAGUGCGUAGGCGGUUCUUUGUGUCCGCUGUGAAAGCCCCGGGCUUAACCUGGGAAUGGCAGUGGAAACUAGAGAACUUGAAUCUGGCAGAGGGGGGUGGAAUGCCACGUGUAGCAGUGAAAUGCGUAGAUAUGUGGCGGAACACCGAUGGCGAAGGCAGCCCCCUGGGCUGAGAUUGACGCUCAGGCAUGAAAGCGUGGGGAGCAAACAGG
rnacentral:rRNA from 1 species